rnacentral:rRNA from 1 species
CACGUAGGGAGCAAGCGUUGUCCGGAUUUAUUGGGCGUAAAGAGCUCGUAGGUGGUUCGGUAAGUCAGGUGUGAAACCUCCAGGCUCAACCUGGAGACGCCACUUGAUACUGCUGUGACUGGAGUCCGGUAGGGGAGCGUGGAAUUCCUGGUGUAGCGGUGAAAUGCGCAGAUAUCGGGAGGAACACCAGCGCGAAGGCGGCGCUCUGGGCCGGAACUGACGCUGAGGAGCGAAAGCGUGGGGAGCAAACAGG